CAAUAGCGUAUAUUAAAGCUGUUGCGGUUAAAAAGCUCGUAGUUGGAUUUCUGUCAAGGACAGCUGGUCCGCCCUCCGGGUGAGCACAUAGUUUGGUCUUGGCAUCUUGCUGGAAACUGUUGCUGCACUUGGCUGUGUGGCGCAGUGUCCAGCACUUUCACUUUGAGGAAAUUGGAGUGUUUCAAGCAGGCACAUGCCUUUGGACACAGUAGCAUGGAAUAAUUAGAUUGGGCUUUUGCUCCAAUUUGUCGGUUUCUGGAGCUGAGGUGAGAAUUAAUGGGGAUUGUUGGGGGCAUCCGAAUUUAGCCGUCAGAGGUGAAAUUCUUGGAUCUGCUAAAGACGGACAACUGCGAAAGCGUUUGCCCAGGAUGUUUUCAUUGA
rnacentral:rRNA from 1 species